rnacentral:rRNA from 1 species
GAACGCAUACUUUAGAGUAUGAGUGGCAGACGGGUGAGUAACGCGUGAGACAUCUACCUUACAGCCCGGUAUAAAUAUCUAUAUAGAGGCGAAAAUCUUUAUAUAUGAGUGAAUCCCGGAUAUUUUGAAUAAAAAAAAAGGCAAAGAACCGUUGUAAGAUGAGCUCGCGUAGGAUUAGGUAGUUGGUAAGGUAAAAGCUUAUCCAAGCCGAUGAUCCUUAGCUGUUCUGAGAGGAUGAUCAACCACACUGGGACUGAGACACGGCCCAGACGCUUUCGAGCGGCAGCAGUGAGGAAUUUUGGACAAUGGGCGAAAGCCUGAUCCAGCUAUAUCGCAUGAAUGAAGAAGGCUCAAUUGGUUGUAAAAUUCAUAGUUUCAUUGUAGAUUAUGACAUUGAUGAAAUGAAUAGUCCCGGCCAACUCCGUGC